UUCAAAAAGGUGCGCGUCAGCAGCUGUACCAGUUCUCCUCGAGUUCGAGGAGAAGCUGGACUUGGUCGGGAGCGCCUGGACCAGCGGGAGGAGGAGGAGCUCCUCGUGCAUGAGGUUCGGGGACCAAGUAUUACCUAAAGUGCACCAAACUACUGGCAUCACAAUAGAAAGUUCCGGACCUACCAUGUCGGGUCGUAGUCCACAGUUCACCAAGACUAGGACUUAAACUUUCAAAACAGUUCGUGUAACUUUUCGUAAUGUGUCUGGUAGAAGAACACGGUCUCCUACGACUACCGUAAAAAAAUGAUGAGGGUUUGUACCUACUGCGGCUGAAGUAACUCUCCCACCACUCCCACUACACGUCCCGUUACGUCUCCAACUUCUCGUCCUUCUAGAACUCCUAGUUGUAGACUUGAACGAACUUCUGGUUCUUCUAGAGCUCCUCGUUGUAGAUUUGAAAGUGCGACUAUACGUCCCUCUAUCACUACUACUACUACUACAGACCCAUGGCGUUCAGGGCUUGAAGUUAGGUGAGACCGAUGAACUUCUGGUCCUACUAGAACUCCUCGGAGAACUGAACGUAGACCUACUUCUCAUAUUGAGAGUCGAGAGUUUCCGUCUGGCCGAGGAACUUCUCCCUCUCCUCUACGAAUGUGCACGCAAACGGGACGUACGCGUGUAAUUCCUAGUAUAGUUAGCUGCCUAAUGCAUACAGCGACGUCUCAGACAAGAAGUUGUUUACCGUCAUCAACGGUGGGCCAACGAUGUAGAACCAUGACUCAGUUCCCUGAAGAGCGGUCUAGAGGUUGUCAAACGCGAAGUCUCCUACCUUGAACCAGUUACUGUAGGUUCGUUCCUAGCAAGCCAACUUACCGUACAAGGGUCUAGACGAACAUGUCUCGUUAUACUACCGACUCGCGUACCAAGCACUCUCCGCGAAACGACGAUUGAUGGGUUACACCCGGAGGUUGUCAGUGUUCAUGAGUAAAGGGGACUCGAUAUGUCUCUCGUGACUUUGUCCUCUACCCCUCUGGUUUCAACCACUCCUGUUCACACUACUCUUAGGACUUUGGCUUCUAUUCAGGUGAACCUGACUUCUACACAUACAAACCUUGCACCUACUACUAGGACUUAACCUACACCUUCUAACCCUCCUCUCUACACUCUUUGCAUCACGAAUCUACACAAAUCCAUCAGUCGGAUCACACUUUUUCUCACGGACGUCAAAAGGAGGAAGGAAUUUGACGAUAGGACACGUUUGAACAAACCGUGACAUUAUUUAAUCGGAUGAUUACUCUGGAGAUAAGAUCGAACCUCCAAACAACGGGACGUCUACUAGAUUUUCUACACGCUUCACUACGUCAAGUCCAAAAGAAAGACAAUUACGACCUCAGACGAAAUAUGAUAGAAGAUACAAUGGGAACG
rnacentral:rRNA from 1 species